rnacentral:rRNA from 1 species
UACGAAGGGGGCAAGCGUUGUUCGGAAUGACUGGGCGUAAAGGGCGCGUAGGCGGUGCGUUGCGUCAGAUGUGAAAUCCCCGGGCUCAACCUGGGAAUGGCAUUUGAUACGGGCGUACUGGAAUCCGUGAGAGGUUGGUGGAAUUCCCAGUGUAGAGGUGAAAUUCGUAGAUAUUGGGAAGAACACCAGUGGCGAAGGCGGCCAACUGGCACGGUAUUGACGCUGAGGCGCGAAAGCGUGGGGAGCAAAC